rnacentral:rRNA from 1 species
GACGAACGCUGGCGGCGUGCUUAACACAUGCAAGUCGAACGGAAAGGCCCUGCUUUUGUGGGGUGCUCGAGUGGCGAACGGGUGAGUAACACGUGAGUAACCUGCCCUUGACUUUGGGAUAACUUCAGGAAACUGGGGCUAAUACCGGAUAGGAGCUCCUGCUGCAUGGUGGGGGUUGGAAAGUUUCGGCGGUUGGGGAUGGACUCGCGGCUUAUCAGCUUGUUGGUGGGGUAGUGGCUUACCAAGGCUUUGACGGGUAGCCGGCCUGAGAGGGUGACCGGCCACAUUUGGACUGAGAUACGGCCCAGACUCCUACGGGAGGCAGCAGUGGGGAAUAUUGCACAAUGGGCGGAAGCCUGAUGCAGCAACGCCGCGUGCGGGAUGACGGCCUUCGGGUUGUAAACCGCUUUCGCCUGUGACGAAGCGUAAGUGACGGUAAUGGGUAAAGAAGCACCGGCUAACUACGUG